rnacentral:rRNA from 1 species
UUUGAUCMUGGCUCAGGACGAACGCUGGCGGCGUGCUUAACACAUGCAAGUCGAACGAUGAUGCCCAGCUUGCUGGGUGGAUUAGUGGCGAACGGGUGAGUAACACGUGAGUAACCUGCCCCUGACUCUGGGAUAAGCGUUGGAAACGACGUCUAAUACUGGAUAUGAUCACUGGCCGCAUGGUCUGGUGGUGGAAAGAUUUUUUGGUUGGGGAUGGACUCGCGGCCUAUCAGCUUGUUGGUGAGGUAAUGGCUCACCAAGGCGACGACGGGUAGCCGGCCUGAGAGGGUGACCGGCCACACUGGGACUGAGACACGGCCCAGACUCCUACGGGAGGCAGCAGUGGGGAAUAUUGCACAAUGGGCGAAAGCCUGAUGCAGCAACGCCGCGUGAGGGAUGACGGCCUUCGGGUUGUAAACCUCUUUUAGUAGGGAAGAAGCGAAAGUGACGGUACCUGCAGAAAAAGCACCGGCUAACUACGUGCCAGCAGCCGCGGUAAUACGUAGGGUGCAAGCGUUGUCCGGAAUUAUUGGGCGUAAAGAGCUCGUAGGCGGUUUGUCGCGUCUGCUGUGAAAUCCCGAGGCUCAACCUCGGGCUUGCAGUGGGUACGGGCAGACUAGAGUGCGGUAGGGGAGAUUGGAAUUCCUGGUGUAGCGGUGGAAUGCGCAGAUAUCAGGAGGAACACCGAUGGCGAAGGCAGAUCUCUGGGCCGUAACUGACGCUGAGGAGCGAAAGCAUGGGGAGCGAACAGGAUUAGAUACCCUGGUAGUCCAUGCCGUAAACGUUGGGCGCUAGAUGUAGGGACCUUUCCACGGUUUCUGUGUCGUAGCUAACGCAUUAAGCGCCCCGCCUGGGGAGUACGGCCGCAAGGCUAAAACUCAAAGGAAUUGACGGGGGCCCGCACAAGCGGCGGAGCAUGCGGAUUAAUUCGAUGCAACGCGAAGAACCUUACCAAGGCUUGACAUACACCGGAAACGGCCAGAGAUGGUCGCCCCCUUGUGGUCGGUGUACAGGUGGUGCAUGGUUGUCGUCAGCUCGUGUCGUGAGAUGUUGGGUUAAGUCCCGCAACGAGCGCAACCCUCGUUCUAUGUUGCCAGCGGGUUAUGCCGGGGACUCAUAGGAGACUGCCGGGGUCAACUCGGAGGAAGGUGGGGAUGACGUCAAAUCAUCAUGCCCCUUAUGUCUUGGGCUUCACGCAUGCUACAAUGGCCGGUACAAAGGGCUGCGAUACCGUAAGGUGGAGCGAAUCCCAAAAAGCCGGUCUCAGUUCGGAUUGAGGUCUGCAACUCGACCUCAUGAAGUCGGAGUCGCUAGUAAUCGCAGAUCAGCAACGSUGCGGUGAAUACGUUCCCGGGCCUUGUACACA